AUACUCAAAUAUUUACAAAAAUGUGAGGGGUGUACUCACUUUUGUGAUAUACUGUAUCUUCCCUAUAGGUCUACAUUAAAAUACAACCACUGUAUGUUUCAA